rnacentral:sRNA from 1 species
UGACCAUUUUUUUAUCUGAAUAACUCGGGGAUAAAGAAAUAAAAUGCCAUACGGACAGCUAGGUCAAAUGCCGA